GAUGAACGCUAGCGGCAGGCCUAAUACAUGCAAGUCGAACGGUGUCUUCGGACAUAGUGGCGCACGGGUGCGUAACACGUAUGCAACCUACCUUACAUUGGGGGAUAGCCUUUCGAAAGGGAGAUUAAUACCGCAUAAGACAGUAGCUGGGCAUCCAGCAGCUGUUAAAGAUUUAUCGAUGUAAGCUGGGCAUGCGUCCAAUUAGCUAGUUGGUGAGGUAACGGCUCACCAAGGCAAUGAUUGGUAGGGGAACUGAGAGGUCAAUCCCCCACACUGGCACUGAGAUACGGGCCAGACUCCUACGGGAGGCAGCAGUAGGGAAUAUCGGGCAAUGGACGCAAGUCUGACCCAGCCAUGCCGCGUGCAGGAUGAAGGCGUUAUGCGUUGUAAACUGCUUUUAUACAGGAAGAAACGACUCUUGCGAGAGGCGUUGACGGUACUGUAUGAAUAAGCACCGGCUAACUCCGUGCCAGCAGCCGCGGUAACAC
rnacentral:rRNA from 1 species